UCCUGGCGACCAUAGCGGUUUGGUACCACCUGAUUCCAUCUCGAACUCAGAAGUGAAACGAACAUGCGCCAAUGAUAGUGUGAGGCUUCCUC
rnacentral:rRNA from 1 species